CAAAGGGAAAGGGCAUGACCAACUGGGUAGGCCGAUGAAUAUUUUCCUGAUAGAUGCACAACUUUCCUCAUAACUGUGAUGCUUUAUCCUCUGAUGUUAAGAACGCUGUUUGCAGAAGUAACAUUCCUUUGAACACUCAGCUUUCUGAAAUGGUGUCCUGCCACAAGGACGGAAGUAGGGUAAGUUUGAACAUCAAUGCUGAGUAAUAGCCAAGCAAAUUACAUUCUGUUCUAGCGUCCAACAGUCAGUCAGGUCUUGAAGUAAAUCAUGAAGUAGAAUUAAUAGCAAUUAAAUGCCACCUCUUUUACUACUUUUGAAUUUGGGGGGUCUAUUUUUAGUUGGAUUUGUGCUUACUGGAAAAC
rnacentral:lncRNA from 1 species